AUUGAACGCUGGCGGCAGGCCUAACACAUGCAAGUCGAGCGGCAGCGACUUAACUGAACCUUCGGGGAACGUUAAGGGCGGCGAGCGGCGGACGGGUGAGUAAUGCCUGGGAAUAUGCCCUGAUGUGGGGGAUAACUAUUGGAAACGAUAGCUAAUACCGCAUAAUCUCUUCGGAGCAAAGAGGGGGACCUUCGGGCCUCUCGCGUCAGGAUUAGCCCAGGUGGGAUUAGCUUGUUGGUGAGGUAAUGGCUCACCAAGGCAACGAUCCCUAGCUGGUCUGAGAGGAUGAUCAGCCACACUGGAACUGAGACACGGUCCAGACUCCUACGGGAGGCAGCAGUGGGGAAUAUUGCACAAUGGGGGAAACCCUGAUGCAGCCAUGCCGCGUGUGUGAAGAAGGCCUUCGGGUUGUAAAGCACUUUCAGUAGGGAGGAAGGUAGUGCAGUUAACACCUGCAUUAUUUGACGUUACCUACAGAAGAAGCACCGGCUAACUCCGUGCCAGCAGCCGCGGUAAUACGGAGGGUGCGAGCGUUAAUCGGAAUUACUGGGCGUAAAGCGCAUGCAGGCGGCCUGUUAAGUCAGAUGUGAAAGCCCGGGGCUUAACCUCGGAAUUGCAUUUGAAACUGGCAGGCUAGAGUCUUGUAGAGGGGGGUAGAAUUUCAGGUGUAGCGGUGAAAUGCGUAGAGAUCUGAAGGAAUAUCAGUGGCGAAGGCGGCCCCCUGGACAAAGACUGACGCUCAGAUGCGAAAGCGUGGGGAGCAAACAGG
rnacentral:rRNA from 1 species